UAGCACAAUGGUUAAGCACUUGGCUGCUAACCAAAAGGUUGGUGGUUCAAAUCCACC
rnacentral:tRNA from 1 species